CGCGCGGCCGGCGGGGCGCGCAGGCCCAGGGAGAGCGGAGCUAGCUCCCUUCCUGUCCUUUGGGCCUGUUGGCGCUUCCCUUUCACGUUCGGCUCAUUUCAGAUUUCGUGCUCAGCUCCUCCAGCAGGGGUCAAACGACACAGUCCGUGGGAGGUGAGUCCUCAGCCUCUGGAGGUUCUGAGGUUCAGACAGGGAAGUGUCUGAGCCUGGAUCUGAGGUGAAUUUACCUGCACUGUUAAGUCCUCAUCCCUAAAGCAAGAACAGGGGUCACAUGUACCUCUGGGGUACUGCCAUUCUCACAAAGGUGCUGAUAAGUCACCAUGGAGAACAUUGCCUCUCUGCAGGCUGUGACACUUUCUGGGGUAUAUAAAGUCCACAAGGAAUUGAGAUGUUUUCUGAGAAGGGAGGGUACCCACUGAAGAUGAUGAAGAAUGAAAAAACAACAGGACCAGAAACUGCUAACAGUGAUGACAAGGUAUAUUCAUUACCUAUUGCUAUGUAAUCAACUAUCGGCAAACCUAACAGCUGAAAAUAAGAAACAUUUACUGUUUCACAAAGGCUCUGAUAAUCAGGAAUCAGAAAACUGGCUUUGCUGGGUGGUCUGGCUGAGGGUUUCUCAUUGGGUUGCAGGUGAGGUGUCAAACGGGACGGCAGCCAUCUGAAGGCUCGACUGGGGCUGGAGGAUCUGCUUCCAAGAUGGCUUAUUCUUGGGCAAUUGGCAGGAAACUGCGGUUCCUCACCAUGUGGGCCUCUCCACAGAGCUGCUUGAGUGUUCUUAUCACAUGGCGGCUGGCUUCCUCCAUGGGAGUGAUCCAAGAAAGAGCAAGGAGAAUACUGCAAUGCCUUUUAUGACCUGGCCUCAGAAGUGACACACUGCCACUCCCACCAUGUCACACCUUCACUGGAAACAAGUCACUAAGUCCAGUCCCUACUCAGCGAAGGGCAAUUAAGCUCCACCUCUUAAAGGAUGAAGUAUCCAAGAACUUGUGGACAUAUUUUAAAACCACCACAUAUGGUGUGUGAAUUUGAUGCAUUGUCCUUACGAAGUGCCAGAGUUUACUUUUCAAAAGUCCAAAACUUGACUGUAAUACAAACAUACAGUGAGCAUUGUCAAAGAUUUACUGUUACUAAUAAGCAAGGGACUCAGCAAGAUGAUCAAGAUAAUUCAGGGAGUGGAAGUCUACAGGGUUUUUCUACAAUCAACAUGUAGCCUAAACAUUGCCUAAGCAGGAGAGCCCCACCUCCAACGUCUUCCACAGGCCUGGCAAGGGCAGAAGAAAGGAGGGACAGAAACAAGGAAGGAAGAGGGA